CACAAAACAAUAACAAUGACUAGCGUAUAGUUCCAUGUCAAAUCAGCCUAGAAAAUUGCCACUUUUCAUUUUCCGUUGGUAUUAUUAGACUUUCUAACUUGAUAGGAGGCAAGUUUUGAAUAGGACAAUUACUGGAAAUCUUAGUCACUUUUAAAUGUGAUGCUAGCAGGCGAAAUGCUAAUGGUCUAAUCCAAUUCAAUGAUAUGCUGAAGCUAAAAGUGGUAUCGCCAGACUCCGAGAACGGCUGGAUGAACUGGAGAAAGUAACCUUUCCGAAUCUUUCUGCCGACCGUAUCUAUGGCCGCCAAGUGGAGGGACUCGCCUAAAAGGACUUUGAUGAGGGCGUUACAGUAAUCGAGAGCACACAAGAAGACACGCAGUGUGGUGGAAAGGGGGAUUGGACAGCUAAAGCGACGUUUCCAUGUCUUACAUAGUGAAAUCCGCCUUCGUCCAGAGAAGACCAGCAAAGUGAUCACUGUGUGUGCGCUUCUUCACAACCUGUGUCGGCUAAGGAACAUACCACAGCCAGGAGAUGGUGAUGAGUCUGAUGAUGAUGAUGAUG